UCCUCCUUAGCUCAGUUGGUUAGAGCAUCUGACUGUUAAUCAGAGGGUCUCAGGUUCAAGUCCUGAAGGGGGAGCCU
rnacentral:tRNA from 1 species